rnacentral:rRNA from 1 species
UGCGUAGGCGGGUCUUUAAGUCAGGGGUGAAAUCCUGGAGCUCAACUCCAGAACUGCCUUUGAUACUGAAGAUCUUGAGUUCGGGAGAGGUGAGUGGAACUGCGAGUGUAGAGGUGAAAUUCGUAGGUAUUCGCAAGAACACCAGUGGCGAAGGCGGCUCACUGGCCCGAUACUGACGCUGAGGCACGAAAGCGUGGGAGCAAACA